rnacentral:rRNA from 1 species
AGCGAGGGGACAUGGGUUAUUCGAAGCACGCGCAGAACCUUACCAGCCCUUGACAUCCCGGUCGCGGACAGGAGAGAUCCUGUCCUUCAGUUCGGCUGGACCGGUGACAGGUGCUGCAUGGCUGUCGUCAGCUCGUGUCGUGAGAUGUUGGGUUAAGUCCCGCAACGAGCGCAACCCUCGCCCUUAGUUGCCAGCAUUUGGUUGGGCACUCUAAGGGGACUGCCGGUGAUAAGCCGAGAGGAAGGUGGGGAUGACGUCAAGUCCUCAUGGCCCUUACGGGCUGGGCUACACACGUGCUACAAUGGUGGUGACAAUGGGCAGCAAUACCGCAAGGUCCAGCUAAUCUCCAAAAACAAGCUCAAUUUCAAUUGCAUUGUGCCGCUCCCGCGCAAGAAGAUGGAACUCUGUGGAAUAAUUCGAUCCACCGCCCACAACCUUACCUGGGCUUGACAUGCGACAUACAUCCCCAAAGAUGGGGCUUCCCCUUGUGGAUGAUGUAC